AGAUCGCGUUACUUUGAUCUCCAUUUUGUAAAAGAUAGAAUGGGUGGAUUAAGGUUUUUCUGCUUGUAGUUCUUUUCUGUUUUCAGCUUGGAAAAAUAAGAGAAGUUAUUGAUACAGAAAAUACAUUUUCUUUUCCAGCUGUGCAAUGCUGGAUAUUAAAUAGAAAUGAAGAUUGGUAUUCGUCUUCGCUCACAUUGAAGGGCAAGAAAGAUGCCACUACUGCAGCGUCUUAUAGAACCUGUCCACGUUAGUCGUGGAACCCUUAACUUCGAAGAGAAGGGUUUGCCUGCCGUAGCUAUACGUGUACAGAAUGAAUUGGAGUGGGUUACGAACGGCUCCUUGUCCAACAUUAUACGGGAGUUGUCUUCUCUGUCCAAGCAUGCCGAUGACAUGUUUGGAACUCUUUUUAGAGAAGCAACUUUCUUAGUAGAACGGUCCAUUGACUUACAAGCACGAAUUGACAAACUAGCCGUGAAAGUGACUCAGCUAGACUCUACUGUUGAGGAAGUGUCUCUCCAAAACAUUCAUUUGAGAAAAGCUUUUAAAAGUAGUGUAACGUAUGAUCAAGAGGUUGUGGCACGUGAUACCAUCCCUCUCGCCAUGAAAGAAACUUAUGACAAGUGUGCCACACCGCCACCUUUGAGUAAACUAAACCCGUAUAGGGAGGAUGGUAAAGAUGGUUUGAAGUUCUACACUGAUCCUAAUUACUUCUUUGACCUAUGGAGACAAGAAAUGUUAAAAGACACAGAAAGAAUCAUGCUGGAUAAAGGCAAAAAGCAAGCUCAUGGGAAGGAUGGAAUUGAGCCACAUCGACCACGUCCAGAAGGAAAAAGGCACAAAAAGGUUCGGCAGCCUCACAACACAAGAGAGAAGUUCCGCCAAAUGGCGACAGCUCAUGAAUUCAUUGACAAAACUGCUAACUAUUCCCAGAUUCAUUAUACCAGUUUAGUGACAAGACAAUCAAGCGUGCCUCGUGAUGGCACUGAUCAAGGGUGUCCGUUGAGACCCAGUAGUUUGGAAAUACAUGCCUACGUAUCUGAAAAAGAACAGGGUAGCCCUACUCAUCGUUACCCUCCACCACCUCCGGCAUAUACAGAACAUCCUCAGUCACCUCGACAGCAGUACAUUUCUCCACCCCCUUACAGUGUAAUGUCCCCUGACCACUUUGGAAACUUGGCUGGUGGUACGCCAACAAGACAAGCCAAUCGUAUUAGCACCAUGAGGCCAUCUCAACCACCUCCUGCUCCACCAGUGUGUGGCUCUUUAAGUUCCAGUGGUACUUCCACACCAACCAUUUCUGAAGGAGGUACACCAUCUAGUGGUGCUGGAAGGUAUAGGGCUUCUAGCCAUUCUAGGGAGAACCUUCCUCCUCCUCCUCCCCCACCAGAAGGUAUACUAACUAAUGGUGGGCCAUCAAACUACAUGGUUCAGAAGGUGUUACAGAAUCAAGGACCUGGGGGAUCUGCACCUCAUACGCCCACACACAAUAAUCUUCAGUCUGGAGGGUCAUGGCACAGUACUCCCACUCAUCACCCACAUUUGAUGAAUCACUUACCAAAUUCUCAAGGACACAGUCGUGAGCACACACCCACUCCUGAAAUCCAGCCGGGAACACUAGAGCAUCUCGAUCUUCCUCCUCCCCCACCAACCCCAACACCUCACAUGGUUGAGGAUCAGACAGCUCCUUCCCCUCUUCCUCCACCACCACCAGUCUUAAAUGGGGGAGACAGUUUACCACCACCACCUCCCCCUCUCCCAACACUUGAAAUGCUCUCUGAUGGACCUGUAAUGAAUGGAGAUGUUUUAUCUCUAGCAAACAGGAUUUCGGAAAUGGUAUCAUUGUCAUCCGAGUCAACUAGCACAGCUUCUAGCAACAGUAAGGUCAGUGAAACAAAGGAAGUUAAGUCCAAACUGGCUCCUACAGCACAGACAGAUGCUAGAAGUGACCUUCUGGCUGCUAUACGAGAAGGAAUCAAGCUACGGAGGGUGGAAGACAUUAAACAGAAAGAAGUGGAGAAAGCUGCUCCACUUCACGACGUAGCAUCAAUUUUGGCAAGACGGGUUGCCAUCGAGUUCUCUGAUUCCGAGUCGGAGUCGGAGAGUGAGUAUGACAGUGAUAUCUGGAAUGAUGAGACAGAGUGCUGAGGAAUGUUUUUUGAAGCGAAGGGGUGUUUGAGCUUCAAUAGAGCAAGCUUCUUAAGAAAUUCCAGGAGGUAUCAGAAACCAAUAUUGCUUUUGUGUACCGACAUCUCAUCUGAGUGCAUGUGGUUACACAUUGAGGUUAAGCCUAAAGAAGCAGCCUGUUGUUUUAAUAUCCCUCAAGAUGUGUAUAAGUGGACGUACGAUACGAUAGGAUGUAAUAUUCCAUUUCAUAGGACAAUAUUAUAUUAUUGUCGUAUAGAAACAACAGCAAUACUACCUUCUGUUUUGCUGUCUUGGAGGAUCAAAACUGGUUAGCUUAUUUAAGUUACUGGUCCAGUAACUGAGAGUUUCCGAAGAAAAACUAAAAAUUUAUACAUUCUUCCCAAUAAUCCUACAGUUUACGGUGGAUUUAAGUGGAAAUAACAAGGCUCUAGUGGAAUACGGUGCUUUGAGUCUUCGAUCACCUUCAGGAGGCUCUCUAUUUGUU
rnacentral:misc_RNA from 1 species